GCAAUUUAAUAUAAAGAGAGAUGAGGGAUAUACUAUAGGGAUCUUGGUUUGCAAAGCCAAUUUCUUAAUUUCAGUGGUGGAGCAACAGAUAUAGUUCCUGUAGGAAUUGGUUCACACACUUAUUAGGACCUUGUACUCCAAAUGUCAGCUUGGAAUUCACUGAAGUUCGAGACUGCAUGACGCUUUAUUCCUGUGUGUAUGCCUAAUGCAGAGACGGGCAUACAACACUCAAUCAUUGUUUCUUGAAAUGAAUUUAUAGGCAUUGAUAAAUAGAGUCACAUAUGCUGACCAGAAGUCUCUACUAUCUCAGGAAUGAUGUGGUUUUCAGGCACCACCAUUUCUCCUAAGAAAACUUCCUGGACCUUGGGAAAACUGGAAGCUGCUUGGUCCAGGUGACUGACUCUCCUUCCUU